rnacentral:rRNA from 1 species
GAUGAACGCUGGCAGCGUGCCUAAUACAUGCAAGUCGAGCGAACGGACGAGAAGCUUGCUUCUCUGAUGUUAGCGGCGGACGGGUGAGUAACACGUGGAUAACCUACCUAUAAGACUGGGAUAACUUCGGGAAACCGGAGCUAAUACCGGAUAAUAUUUUGAACCGCAUGGUUCAAAAGUGAAAGACGGUCUUGCUGUCACUUAUAGAUGGAUCCGCGCUGCAUUAGCUAGUUGGUAAAGUAACGGCUUACCAAGGCAACGAUGCAUAGCCGACCUGAGAGGGUGAUCGGCCACACUGGAACUGAGACACGGUCCAGACUCCUACGGGAGGCAGCAGUAGGGAAUCUUCCGCAAUGGGCGAAAGCCUGACGGAGCAACGCCGCGUGAGUGAUGAAGGUCUUCGGAUCGUAAAACUCUGUUAUUAGGGAAGAACAUAUGUGUAAGUAACUGUGCACAUCUUGACGGUACCUAAUCAGAAAGCCACGGCUAACUACGUG